rnacentral:tRNA from 1 species
UGGGGCUAUGCUGGAACUGGUAGACAAUACGGCCUUAGAUUCCGUAGCUUAAAUGCGUGGGAGUUCGAGUCUCCCUAGCCCCACCAA